GGGGGGGGGGGGGGGAUGAUUGAUGUGUUUAGUUGCUCUAGGGAGUUUGGUGAUGAGUCAGUCUGUGGGGGUGGGUCAUGAGUGUGAGGUUACUUAGUCCCGAGGAUAUAAAGAAGUCAACCCAUUGGAUAACUCUCACUUAAUAUUUAUAAAAUAUUGAUGGAAAUAAAAGGAUAGAGUAUAUUUUUUAUGCAAAAUAAAAGGAAACAGUAUAUUUUACUCGACUAAGAAAAUACUUCCAAAAAUGUAUGUUUACAUUAUUAUAUAUAAUCAGAAUGUGUUAAGAAAUAUCAUAAAAGAAAGUUUAGGGAAUAUUUUAAUCAUAAUCCAAAAAUAUAAAGAUCAAAAAUGGCUAUCAUAAUAAAGACUUUAGUCACAUUUGUUUUUACUAUACUCUUCGUAGUAUCUUCUGUUCAUUGUGAUACUAUAGUUACCGCUGAUGCUCCAGUUUAUGGAGGAAAGAAUGACGUCUGCGUCAACAUCGAUAAACCGUGUGAAAAAGCUGGCGGUGUGUUAAAAGCUUGCGAUGACUUUUGUACGAAACAUUAUCUUGUUGGCGGAUAUUGUAAUGGUCUAGGAAAAUGUUGUUGUAUAACUGAAGUAUGAAAUCAUCUUAUGAGAUUGAAACAAAAGCAAAAUAAAUAAAUAUAUCAGAUUGAAACUA